CAAUAGCGUAUAUUAAAGUUGUUGCGGUUAAAAGCUCGUAGUUGGAUUUCUGUCGGAGACGCGCGGUCCGCACUAUGUGCGUGUAUCUGUGUCGGCUCUGGCAUCCUCCUGGGAAGCGAUGCUGCGCUUGAUUGCGUGGUCCGGUAUUCAGGACUUUUACUUUGAGGAAAUUAGAGUGUUUACGGCAGGCAAGCGCCUUGAAUAUAUUAGCAUGGAAUAAUAACAUAGGACUUUGGUUCUAUUUUGUUGGUUUCUAGAACUAAGGUAAUGAUUAAUAGGGAUAAUUGGGGCAUGCCGUACUUUCGUUUGUUCAGAGGUGAAAUUGCUUAUGUAGUUUUACGAAAAGACGAACAACUGCGAAAGCACUUGCCAAGAGUGUUUUCAUUAAUCAAGAACGAAAGUUAGAGGAUCGAAGACGAUCAGAU
rnacentral:rRNA from 1 species